rnacentral:rRNA from 1 species
UGAGCAAUCUGCCCUUCUCUUCGGAAUAAGCGUUGGAAACGACGUCUAAUGCCGAAUACGACCUCCUUUCGCAUGAUCGGAGGUGGAAAGCUCCGGCGGAGAAGGAUGAGCUCGCGGCCUAUCAGCUAGUUGGUGUGGGUAACGGCCCACCAAGGCGACGACGGGUAGCCGGCCUGAGAGGGUGACCGGCCACACUGGGACUGAGACACAGCCCAGACUCCUACGGGAGGNAGCG